rnacentral:rRNA from 1 species
UACGUAUGGUGCAAGCGUUAUCCGGAUUUACUGGGUGUAAAGGGAGCGCAGGCGGCACGGCAAGCCUGAUGUGAAAGCCCGCGGCCCAACCGCGGGACUGCAUUGGAAACUGGCGGGCUGGAGUGCCGGAGAGGUAAGCGGAAUUCCUAGUGUAGCGGUGAAAUGCGUAGAUAUUAGGAGGAACACCAGUGGCGAAGGCGGCUUACUGGACGGCAACUGACGCUGAGGCUCGAAAGCGUGGGGAGCAAACAGG